rnacentral:rRNA from 1 species
UACGUAGGGUGCAAGCGUUAUCCGGAAUUAUUGGGCGUAAAGAGCUCGUAGGCGGUUUGUCGCGUCUGCUGUGAAAACCCGAGGCUCAACCUCGGGCCUGCAGUGGGUACGGGCAGACUAGAGUGCGGUAGGGGAGAAUGGAAUUCCUGGUGUAGCGGUGGAAUGCGCAGAUAUCAGGAGGAACACCGAUGGCGAAGGCAGUUCUCUGGGCCGUAACUGACGCUGAGGAGUGAAAGCGUGGGGAGCGAACAGG